GACGAACGCUGGCGGCGUGCUUAACACAUGCCAGUCGAACGGAAAGGCCCUGCUUUUGUGGGGUGCUCGAGUGGCGAACGGGUGAGUAACACGUGAGUAACCUGCCCUUGACUUUGGGAUAACUUCAGGAAACUGGGGCUAAUACCGGAUAGGAGCUCCUGCUGCAUGGUGGGGGUUGGAAAGUUUCGGCGGUUGGGGAUGGACUCGCGGCUUAUCAGCUUGUUGGUGGGGUAGUGGCUUACCCAGGCUUUGACGGGUAGCCGGCCUGAGAGGGUGACCGGCGACAUUGGGACUGAGAUACGGCCCAGACUCCUACGGGAGGCAGCAGGGGGGAAUAUUGCACAAUGGGGGGAAGCCUGAUGCAGCAACGCCGCGUGCGGGAUGACGUCUUUCGGGUUGUAAACCGCUUUCGCCUGUGACGAAGCGUGAGUGACGGUAAUGGGUAAAGAAGCACCGGCUAACUACGUG
rnacentral:rRNA from 1 species